rnacentral:rRNA from 1 species
UGGGGAAUAUUGGACAAUGGGGGCAACCCUGAUCCAGCAAUGCCGCGUGUGUGAAGAAGGUCUUCGGAUUGUAAAGCACUUUCGACGGGGACGAUGAUGACGGUACCCGUAGAAGAAGCCCCGGCUAACUUCGUGCCAGCAGCCGCGGUAAUACGAAGGGGGCUAGCGUUGCUCGGAAUGACUGGGCGUAAAGGGCGUGUAGGCGGUUUACACAGUCAGAUGUGAAAUCCCCGGGCUUAACCUGGGAGCUGCAUUUGAUACGUGUAGACUAGAGUGUGAGAGAGGGUUGUGGAAUUCCCAGUGUAGAGGUGAAAUUCGUAGAUAUUGGGAAGAACACCGGUGGCGAAGGCGGCAACCUGGCUCAUGACUGACGCUGAGGCGCGAAAGCGUGGGGAGCAAACAGGAUUAGAUACCCUGGUAGUCCACGCUGUAAACGAUGUGUGCUAGAUGUUGGGUAACUUUGUUAUUCAGUGUCGCAGUUAACGCGUUAAGCACACCGCCUGGGGGAG